rnacentral:rRNA from 1 species
GACGAACGCUGGCGGCGUGCUUAACACAUGCAAGUCGAACGGAAAGGCCCUGCUUUUGUGGGGUGCUCGAGUGGCGAACGGGUGAGUAACACGUGAGUAACCUGCCCAUGACUUUGGGAUAACUUCAGGAGACUGGGGCUAAUACCGGAUAGGAGCUCCUGCUGCAUGGUGGGGGUUGGAAAGUUUCGGCGGUUGGGGAUGGACUCGCGGCUUAUCAGCUUGUUGGUGGGGUAGUGGCUUACCAAGGCUUUGACGGGUAGCCGGCCUGAGAGGGUGACCGGCCACAUUGGGACUGAGAUACGGCCCAGACUCCUACGGGAGGCAGCAGUGGGGAAUAUUGCACAAUGGGCGGAAGCCUGAUGCAGCAACGCCGCGUGCGGGGUGACGGCCUUCGGGUUGUAAACCGCUUUCGCCUGUGACGAAGCGUGAGUGACGGUAAUGGGUAAAGAAGCACCGGCUAACUACGUG